GAUGAAGAACGCAGCGAAAUGCGAUAAGUAAUGUGAAUUGUAGAAUUCAGUGAAUCAUCGAAUCUUUGAACGCACAUUGCGCCCCCUGGUAUUCCGGGGGGCAUGCCUGUUCGAGCGUCAUUUCAACCCUCAAGCUCUGCUUGGUAUUGAGUCCAUGUCAGCAAUGGCAGGCUCCAAAAUCAGUGGCGGCGCCGCUGGGUCCUGAACGUAGUAAUAUCUCUCGUUACAGGUGCUCGGCGUGCUUCUGCCAAAACCCCAAUUUUUCUAUGGUUGACCUCGGAUCAGGUAGGGAUACCCGCUGAACUUAAGCAUAUCAAUAAGCGGAGGA
rnacentral:misc_RNA from 1 species